GCUCCCUCUAAGCCCGGGUUCAAAGUCUCCCCCCCCUCCUCCCGGCACACACAUACCCGGGAAGAAAGCUGGAGCUGUCGCUCCUCUGCCAGCCCUCGUUGUGCCUUCCCUUUGUGCGAGCCCCCGCUAGCUAAGCAUGCAGCGAAGGAGGGAGGAUGCAAAGGCGGCCCGGGGGGAAUAAGCGCUCCCGCAUGCAGCCAGUCUGUGCAGCUCCUCAGUCAACUGAAACCACUCGUUCAAGACAGCAACAAUCCAGAUAUACUAGCAAGUCAUAAAACUGAACAAAAGCCGACAAACCUUAGAGCACCAUCGCUAUAUGGCCCAGACAAAUUACGACCGUCUAGGGGGAACCGUUGUGUGCUUAUCCCGUGUUACCAACGGUAACGCUAUUAAUCGACCAACAACAACAAAAAAAUCACUAAUUCCACAUCUUUAAGCAAAACUACGUUACGUAAAUAUCUACAACCAGAAAGAGAGAGAGAAAUUCAGAGCUUGAAAGAGCGAAGCGGGCCCGGGAAAGGCUGCAGGAACCGAGGAGGCUCACACAUGGCCCUCAGCGUUAGCGUGGCUCUCUUCCGCUCCCCCCGCAGCCCCGAAGCAGCUAUUAAGAGUUUAAGGACAUACUGAGAACGUCUAAAAUCGUUAAUCCGUACAGGUGCGGAUGACUACAGCCUAGGAAAAUGAUACUGGCUCUUUAAACCAUCAAGAUGUGUUUAUAGGUUCAUCAAGAGAAAUUAAAGUUGGCUGUGAGCUCCCGAAUCCUAUUCUCUCUGUUCAUUUUCUUCAGUUUCAUUCUGCGGUUCUGAAACCAG
rnacentral:lncRNA from 1 species